GGUGUGGGGAGUAGCCGGGCUAACGCCCGGGUAAUACCGCAUACGGUUGCCGAGGGGAGUCCCUUGGCAAAGAAACCUCCGGGGCACAGAGAGGGGCUCGCGGCCUAUCAGCUAGUUGGGGGGGGUAAUGGCCCACCAAGGCGACGACGGGUAGCUGGUCUGAGAGGAUGGCCAGCCACAUUGGGACUGAGAGACGGCCCAG
rnacentral:rRNA from 1 species